AAAGUGGGGGAUCGUAAGACCUCACGCUUUUUGAGGAGCCCGCGGCCUAUCAGCUUGUUGGUGAGGUAAAAGCUUACCAAGGCUACGACGGGUAGCUGGUCUGAGAGGACGACCAGCCUCACUGGAACUGGGACACGGUCCAGACACCUACGGGUGGCAGCAGUCGAGAAUCCUUCACAAUGGGGGCAACCCUGAUGAAGCGACGCCGCGUGGAGGAUGAAGGUCUUCGGAUCGUAAACUCCUGUCACCACAGAACAAGGGUGUCAAAACGAAUACUUUUGAUAUUUGAUGGUAUGUGGAGAGGAAGGGACGGCUAACUCUGUGCCAGCAGCCGCGGUGAUACAGAGGUCCCAAGCGUUGUUCGGAUUCACUGGGCGUAAAGGGUGCGUAGGGGGCCGGGAAAGUCGGAUGUGAAAUCUUACUGUUCAACAGUAAAAUUGCAUUCGAAACUCCUCGGCUAGAGGAUCGGAGAGGAAAGCGGAAUUCUUGGUGUAGCGGUGAAAUGCGUAGAUAUCAAGAGGAACGCCAAUGGCGAAAGCAGCUUUCUGGAAGACUCCUGACCCUGAGGCACGAAGGCUAGGGUAGCAAACAGGAUUAGAGACCCUGGUAGUCCUAACAGUAAACGGUGCUCAUUAGGUGUUGGCGGAUUCGACCCC
rnacentral:rRNA from 1 species